rnacentral:lncRNA from 1 species
UUCAGUCCCCCGAUUCCUCUCUAAGGGGUUUCCCCACCAUGUCCUCCACCCCGGAGGCCAUCCUCAAGGGGAUGUCGAGGGUUUGGAGGAAGGCAAGGAGGAGAACAGCGGUCCGUGAGUUCUCCGGUCAUCGAGCGGCCGCUGAAGGUCCCCGUCGUUCCAAAGGGGGCUCGAGGAAGAAUUCCUUCAACAACAGGGGUUUAAUAACGGGGACCGUCGGUAAAGGUGUUCUGCCCGAGAAUUUCGGAGUAGCAAGACG